GUGGGGAAUAUUGGACAAUGGGCGAAAGCCUGAUCCAGCCAUGCCGCGUGUGUGAAGAAGGUCUUCGGAUUGUAAAGCACUUUAAGUUGGGAGGAAGGGCAGUAAGUUAAUACCUUGCUGUUUUGACGUUACCGACAGAAUAAGCACCGGCUAACUUCGUGCCAGCAGCCGCGGUAAUACGAAGGGUGCAAGCGUUAAUCGGAAUUACUGGGCGUAAAGCGCGCGUAGGUGGUUUUGUAAGUUGGAGGUGAAAUCCCCGGGCUCAACCAGGGAACUGCCUCCAAAACUGCAUGACUAGAGUACGGUAGAGGGUAGUGGAAUUUCCUGUGUAGCGGUGAAAUGCGUAGGUAUAGGAAGGAACACCAGUGGCGAAGGCGACUACCUGGACUGAUACUGACACUGAGGUGCGAAAGCGUGGGGAGCAAACAGGAUUAGAAACCCUUGUAGUCC
rnacentral:rRNA from 1 species